rnacentral:ribozyme from 2 species
AGCCGUUCGGGUGGCUAUAAAUAGACCUUAGGCCCGAAGCGUGGCGGCACCUGCCGCCGGUGGUA